rnacentral:rRNA from 1 species
AUUGAACGCUGGCGGCAGGCCUAACACAUGCGAGUCGAACGUGAGGGGGACGGGGGCGUAAUGUCUGGGAAACUGCCCGAUGGAGAGGGGUAACAAAUGGAAAAGAUAGCUAAUAAAGCAUAUACUCGGAUGUGCCCAGAUGGGGUUAGAUUGUAGGUAGGGUAACGGCUCACCUAGGCGACGAUCCCUAGCUGGUUUGAGAGGAUGACCAGCCACACUGGAACUGAGACACGGUCAGUACUCCUACGGGAGGCAGCAGGGGGGAAGAUUGCACAAUGGGCGCAAGCCUGAUGCAGCCAUGCCGGGUGGAUGAAGAAGGCCUUCGGGUUGUAAAGUACUUUCGGCGGGGAGGCGUUACCCGCAGAAGAAGCACCGGCUAACUCCGUGCCAGCAGCCGCGGUAAUAC